rnacentral:rRNA from 1 species
GUGGGGAAUCUUAAACAAUGGGGGCAACCCUGAUCUAGCCAUGUCGCGUGAGUGAUGAAGGCCUUAGGGUCGUAAAGCUCUUUCGCUGGGGAAGAUAAUGACGGUACCCAGUAAAGAAACCCCGGCUAACUCCGUGCCAGCAGCCGCGGUAAUACGGAGGGGGUUAGCGUUGUUCGGAAUUACUGGGCGUAAAGCGCGCGUAGGCGGAUUGGAAAGUUGGGGGUGAAAUCCCGGGGCUCAACCCUGGAAUGGCCUUCAAAACUCCCAGUCUUGAGGUCGAGAGAGGUGAGUGGAAUUCCGAGUGUAGAGGUGAAAUUCGUAGAUAUUCGGAGGAACACCAGUGGCGAAGGCGGCUCACUGGCUCGAUACUGACGCUGGGGUGCGAAAGCGUGGGGAGCAAACAGGAUUAGAAACCCGUGUAGUCC